rnacentral:rRNA from 1 species
UACGGGGGGAGCAAGCGUUGUUCGGAUUUACUGGGCGUAAAGGGCGCGUAGGCGGUCAGCACAAGUCAGUUGUGAAAUCUCCGGGCUUAACUCGGAAAGGUCAACUGAUACUGUGCGACUAGAGUGCGGAAGGGGCAACUGGAAUUCUCGGUGUAGCGGUGAAAUGCGUAGAUAUCGAGAGGAACACCUGCGGCGAAGGCGGGUUGCUGGGCCGACACUGACGCUGAUGCGCGAAAGCCAGAGGAGCGAACGGG